UUUACUCGUACGGGAGGCAGCAAUUAGGAAUAUUGGUCAAUGGGCGCGAUCCUGAACCAGCCAAGUCCGCGUGGAAGGAUGACUGCCCUAUGGGUUGUAAACUUCUUUUAUAUUGAAAUAAAGUGUCAGUAUGUAUAGCUGUUUUGUAUGUAUAAUAUCAAUAAAGAUCGCCUAGACUCCAUAGCCAUCACCCGACGGCUAAUACAAUACA
rnacentral:rRNA from 1 species